CGGGUUGAAGCUUGAAGGGGUUCAAGCAUGAUAAGCAGAGUCCAGCCCUGAUGUCAUCACCAUAUGCAAAUGAGAUGUUGGCCUUUAAGUGCCGGGCUGAGCAGGCACCUCAUUGAGCUGUCAGGAGCCUGUGAACAGCAUGGAGACACGACAGCCAUAAAGACAACACGGUAGGAGAAAAGCCUCAUCAAGCCCUUAAUUCACACUUCCUUCAAGGGGAGACACACAUCUUAGACAUCGAGGAGUCUGAACUCAAGUCGGCGAUACAGGAAACACACUGGUCUUGAACCCUGGACAGGAUAUCAUCAUAUACUGUAAGUUCGUUAUAGAGACACUACAGUAUAGAUGAUGUACUAUCCAGGGUUUCAUUCCAUCUGCCUGUCACUCUCAGCCCCAGACACAGAAAGCACUUUGACAGUUUGGAGCCAGAGGGGGGCAAUCAAACCGUUACCAUUACUGAAUUUGAGUAAUGGUAAGGGUUAUAUUGCUUCCACUCACAGUCAUCGGGAACCACAACGAGGAAAUGACCAAUGGGAUAAACGCAGUUGGAAUUAAGAGAUGUUUUCACUUCCUUUGUCCCCGGCCAACUACGACUGAGCUGCUGUUUGUGAUGCUGCUUUGUUAAGCUGUGUUUAAACCCAAGUGUUGUCUUGUGUUGUGAGAUGUGGUAAGACACUGUGAAAUAAAGUUUCAUAUGAAAAACAAA